GCCCCUGUGGUGGAAUUGGUAGACGCGGCAGACUCAAAAUCUGUUGUCCGUAGGACGUGGGAGUUCGAGUCUCCCCGGGGGCACCA
rnacentral:tRNA from 1 species